ensembl:lncRNA
CUUGGAUCUUGUCAGAUGCAUUCUGAGCAACUCUUAUGUCUCACAUCCCAGACACAUCUUCAGCUAAGAUAAAAAUUAUAUGGGGGAGAAUCUGGUACUCUCUAGACCUGAAAUUCUGGGGGCUGUUUUAUUUUUCAUUUCUCUGUGAUUUAUAAAUUUAAAACCUAUACUUUAUUUUUUCUGUGGAACAGUAUAUUGAGCCUUAAAACUAAUAUUAAACUGUCUUAAAAUAAUUUAAAAUAGUAUCUUAUUUGAUCCCACUACAUUCUUGUUGAGAACAUCUUACAAUAUCCAUUUUGUAUAUGAGUAAGCUAAUUCCUUAGAGAUCAAGUAGUCUGUUUAAAGGCUCAUGAAUUUGUUAGUGUCUAAGUCUCCUGACUCUUUGUACAACAUUCUUUGCAUUUUGUGGCACUGCUUUAUUGUUGUUAUUAAAACCCAUCUUUAGGCUUGCAUUCAUCUGCAUUUCUGCACAUCUUCUGAGAUGCUCCAUUUCAAGCCAAUAUUCUGUUUUUAAAAAAUGAUCUUAAGUACAGCUUUAAUCAAACAUUUACAUUGUUAAUACACUUCAAAGUCCAUUUUCUUUCCCUAACUAAAACAUACCCUGAGUGAGUAGAUAUUAGCUAUGCUUCUACUUAGUCAAGGAUACCAAGUGUAAAAGAGCAAUAGAAUUUCAUGUAGCUGGCAGAGGCAAUAGAUUCACGACAUCCUGACAGUCAAAUCUAAGCUCCUAGGUCAACUCUUACAGCUUAAAUGACUUCAGGGGUCAGACAAAAAUAUUAACAAGUGAAGUAUACAAGGGUUGCUGCAAAAUAGGAUCUUAAUAGUAUUCUUUGGACAGAGACACACCUUGAAUAUUAGACACAUAGGAAUAGAUUUCACGAGAUGUGCUGUCACUUUAUUUUCCCUUUUAGGAGGAAGAGAAUAACAAUCAAGCAUGGUAAUGGAUGCUAGUUCUACAAUGUGGCUGUGGAACUAUUCAGUUCAAGAAUAACAUGUUCAUUGACCCCUUUCCCCCAGUAAGAAACAAACUAACAACAACAAGAAGAAAGCUGAAGAAGAAGAAGAAGAAGAAGAAGAAGAAGAAGAAGAAGAAGAAGAAAGAAAGAAGAAAGAAAGAAAGAAAGAAAGAAAGAAAGAAAGAAAGAAAGAAAAGACAAAGAGUAAAAGAAGUUAUUUCCUCCCUUCAUCAAUGAUAAAAGUACUGUUUUUAAAUUCUGAAAUACUUAACAUAUGGUUCUGUUUAACUGGCAGAUCUGUGGCAUUGUACAGAGGAGAUCUAAAGAAAAUCCUCCCUUUUGGAACAAACAGAAACAGUUGGUGCCUUGGGGAAGUAAACAACCGCUAUUGUCAUGGCCAGUUAUAAAUCAGAUAAAUUGUUGCUUGCACCUUACUUUUUUGUUAAAUAACUUGAGAAUGUCAUUGCAGCCUAACUUCCUUUUAUGACUUUGGAUUUUUAAAAAUUUCAUUUCUAGAAGAAAGGAUUUAAAACAAUGGUAUGAUAAGAAAGGGUUUAACCAAUUCAUUAAAUAAGGAAAUAAAAUCCUCAAUAAAAGACA